rnacentral:tRNA from 1 species
GGAGAGAUGGCCGAGUGGUUGAAGGCGCUAGACUCGAAAUCUAGUAUACGUUAACGCGUAUCGUGGGUUCGAAUCCCACUCUCUCCGCCA